AUCACAGGUCUAAGUGGCCUACAAGCACCAGAGAUGUGUGAUCUUGGAAGCUAAGCAAGGUCAGUCUUGGUUAGUACUUGGAUGGGAGACUGUCAAUGAAUACCAGGUACUGUAGAUU
rnacentral:rRNA from 11 species